AAGAUUACUUAUUUUGUUUUUGCUCUUGGUUUGCUUUGUACCGUUGCUUAUGCAGCCACAAUUAACGACGAAGGAAAGCUCAAUGAAGGGAUUUUGAACGAAUUUGACGAGGAAACUUCGCCAGAGGAAAGCAUAGGGAAGGAACUACAAGAAAAUGAUGAUGAAAAUCACCAGUUGGACGAUGAAGACGUUGAGGAAGCUGCUCCAGAUCUAGAAAAACGCUCACCUUAUGGUUACCGUCGCC